rnacentral:rRNA from 1 species
CCGGACUUGACUGUCACUACGUGACCUGCGGAGGAUCAUUACCUAGAGUUGUAGGCUUUGCCUGCUAUCUCUUACCCAUGUCUUUUAAGUACCUUCGUUUCCUCGGCGGGUUCGCCCGCCGAUUGGACAAUUUAAACCAUUUGCAGUUGCAAUCAGCGUCUGAAAAAACUUAAUAGUUACAACUUUCAACAACGGAUCUCUUGGUUCUGGCAUCGAUGAAGAACGCAGCGAAAUGCGAUAAGUAGUGUGAAUUGCAGAAUUCAGUGAAUCAUCGAAUCUUUGAACGCACAUUGCGCCCCUUGGUAUUCCAUGGGGCAUGCCUGUUCGAGCGUCAUUUGUACCUUCAAGCUCUGCUUGGUGUUGGGUGUUUGUCUCGCCUCUGCGUGUAGACUCGCCUCAAAACAAUUGGCAGCCGGCGUAUUGAUUUCGGAGCGCAGUACAUCUCGCGCUUUGCACUCAUAACGACGACGUCCAAAAGUACAUUUUUACACUCUUGACCUCGGAUCAGGUAGGGAUACCCGCUGAACUUAA